rnacentral:rRNA from 1 species
UGAGCAAUCUGCCCUUCUCAUCGGAAUAAGCGUUGGAAACGACGUCUAAUGCCGAAUACGACCUCCUUUCGCAUGAUCGGAGGUGGAAAGCUCCGGCGGAGAAGGAUGAGUUCGCGGCCUAUCAGCUAGUUGGUGUGGGUAACGGCCCACCAAGGCGACGACGGGUAGCCGGCCUGAGAGGGUGACCGGCCACACUGGGACUGAGACACGGCCCAGACUCCGUACGGGAGCAGCAGG